rnacentral:rRNA from 1 species
AUACGGAGGGUGCAAGCGUUACUCGGAAUCACUGGGCGUAAAGCGCGCGCAGGCGGCCAUUUAAGUUGGAUGUGAAAGCCUACGGCUCAACCGUAGAACUGCAUCCAAAACUAUUUGGCUAGAGUGUGGGAGAGGAAGAUGGAAUUAGUUGUGUAGGGGUAAAAUCCGUAGAAAUAACUAGGAAUACCAAAAGCGAAGGCAAUCUUCUGGAACAUUACUGACGCUGAGGCGCGAAAGCGAGGGGAGCAAACAGGAUUAGAAACCCUAGUAGUCC